rnacentral:rRNA from 1 species
CAGCAGGCGCGCAAAUUACCCACUCCCGGCACGGGGAGGUAGUGACGAAAAAUAACGAUACGGGACUCAUCCGAGGCCCCGUAAUCGGAAUGAGUAUACUCUAAAUCCUUAUACGAGUAUCAAUUGGAGGGCAAGUCUGGUGCCAGCAGCCGCGGUAAUUCCAGCUCCAAUAGCGUAUAUUAAAGUUGUUGCGGUUAAAAAGCUCGUAGUUGGAUCUGUGUCCCGCACCGUCGGUUCACCGCCUGUCGGUGUUCAACUGGCGUGUAUGCGGGACGUCCUGCCGGUGGCGGUCCGGUUCCCGGAGGGUACGUAGGGGCCGUCCUUGCCUUGCUUGCGUCGACCCCGAAGGCCUUCGCGGUGUUUCCGGCCGCCUUUUCGAUCCCGUCGCGGUGCUCUUUACCGAGUGUCGAGGCGGGCCGGCACGUUUACUUUGAACAAAUUAGAGUGCUUUAAGCAGGCCCUGUCCCGCCUGUAUGUUGUGUGCAUGGAAUAAUGGAAUAGGACCUCGGUUCUAUUUUGUUGGUUUUCGGAAUCUGAGGUAAUGAUCAAUGGGGACAGGCGGGGGCAUUCGUAUUGCGACGUUAGAGGUGAAAUUCUUGGAUCGUCGCAAGACGGACCGAAGCGAAAGCAUUUGCCAAGUAUGUUCUCGUCGAUCAAGAACGAAAGUUAGAGGUUCGAAGGCGAUCAGAUACCGCCCUAGUUCUAACCAUAAACUAUGCCUGCCAGCGAUCCGCCGAAGUUCCUCCGAUGACUCGGCGGGCAGCUUCCGGGAAACCAGAGCUUUUGGGUUCCGGGGGAAGUAUGGUUGCAAAGCUGAAACUUAAAGGAAUUGACGGAAGGGCACCACCAGGAGUGGAGCCUGCGGCUUAAUUUGACUCAACACGGGAAAACUCACCAGGCCCGGACACCGGAAGGAUUGACAGAUUGAGAGCUCUUUCUUGAUUCGGUGGGUGGUGGUGCAUGGCCGUUCUUAGUUGGUGGAGCGAUUUGUCUGGUUAAUUCCGAUAACGAACGAGACUCUAGCCUACUAACUAGGCGUACCCGGUAUCCACAAUCGUGCUACCGGCGAUCAAAUUUCUUCUUAGAGGGACAGGCGGCUUCUAGCCGCACGAGACUGAGCAAUAACAGGUCUGUGAUGCCCUUAGAUGUCCUGGGCCGCACGCGCGCUACACUGAAGGAAUCAGCGUGUCUUCCCUGUCCGAAAGGACCGGGUAACCCGCUGAACCUCCUUUGUGCUAGGGAUUGGGGCUUGCAAUUGUUCCCCAUGAACGAGGAAUUCCCAGUAAGCGCGAGUCAUAAGCUCGCGUUGAUUACGUCCCUGCCCUUUGUACACACCGCCCGUCGCUACUACCGAUUGAAUGAUUUAGUGAGGUCUUCGGACUGGUGCGCGGAGGCCGCUCCCGCGGUCUCCGAUGUUGCUGGAAAGAUGACCAAACUUGAUCAUUUAGAGGAAGUAAAAGUCGUAACAAGGUUUCCGUAGGUG